rnacentral:tRNA from 1 species
GAAAUAUAAAAAUUUAAGCUUCUAACUUAAUAUAUAGCAAUUUGUUAAUAUUUCU